UGCGAGUCAUUGUAGUAAUACAAGGCAGACGGCUCAGUAACGCGUAGUCAACCUACCCUAUGGACGGGAAUAACCUCGGGAAACUGAGUAUAAUGCCCGAUAGAACACUAUGCCUGGAAUGGUUUGUGUUCCAAAUGAAUGUCGCCGUAGGAUGGGACUGCGGCCUAUCAGUUUGUUGGUGAGGUAAUGGCCCACCAAGACUAUUACAGGUACGGGCUCUGAGAGGAGUAGCCCGGAGAUGGGUACUGAGACACGGACCCAGGCCCUAUGGGGCGCAGCAGGCGAGAAAACUUUGCAAUGUGCGAAAGCACGACAAGGUUAAUCCGAGUGGUUUGUGCUAAACGAACCUUUUGACAGUCCUAGAAACACUGUUGAAUAAGGGGUGGGCAAGUUCUGGUGUCAGCCGCCGCGGUAAAACCAGCACCUCAAGUGGUCAGGAUGAUUAUUGGGCCUAAAGCAUCCGUAGCCGGCUCUGUAAGUUUUCGGUUAAAUCUGUACGCUCAACGUACAGGCUGCCGGGAAUACUGCAGAGCUAGGGAGUGGGAGAGGUAGACGGUACUCGGUAGGAAGGGGUAAAAUCCUUUGAUCUAUUGAUGACCACCUGUGGCGAAGGCGGUCUACCAGAACACGUCCGACGGUGAGGGAUGAAAGCUGGGGGAGCAAACCGGAUUAGAUACCCGGGUAGUCCCAGCUGUAAACUAUGCAAACUCAGUGAUGCAUUGGCUUGUGGCCAAUGCAGUGCUGCAGGGAAGCCGUUAAGUUUGCCGCCUGGGAAGUACGUACGCAAGUAUGAAACUUAAAGGA
rnacentral:rRNA from 1 species